rnacentral:rRNA from 1 species
UUGGGAAUCUUGGACAAUGGGGGAAACCCUGAUCCAGCCAUGCCGCGUGAGUGAUGAAGGCCUUCGGGUUGUAAAACUCUUUCGACGGGGACGAUAAUGACGGUACCCGUAGAAGAAGCUCCGGCUAACUUCGUGCCAGCAGCCGCGGUAAUACGAAGGGGGCGAGCGUUGUUCGGAUUUACUGGGCGUAAAGGGCGCGUAGGCGGCCACCGCAAGUCGACUGUGAAAUCUCCGGGCUUAACCCGGAAAGGUCAGCCGAUACUGCGGGGCUAGAGUGCAGAAGGGGCAACUGGAAUUCUCGGUGUAGCGGUGAAAUGCGUAGAUAUCGAGAGGAACACCUGCGGCGAAGGCGGGUUGCUGGGCUGACACUGACGCUGAUGCGCGAAAGCUAGGGGAGCGAAC